GCGUAGGAAACUACCCAGUAGUGGGGGACAAAAAGUGGAAACGACUGCUAAUACCGCAUACGCUCUACGGAGGAAAGGGGGCGUUCGGCUCUCGCUAUUGGAUGUGCCUGCGUGAGAUUAGCUAGUUGGUGGGGUAAAGGCCUACCAAGGCAACGAUCUCUAGCUGGUCUGAGAGGACGAACAGCCACACUGGGACUGAGACACGGCCCAGACUCUUUUAGAGGCAGCAGUACGGAAUAUUGGACAAUGAGCGAAAGCUUGACCCAGCAAUACCACGUGGGUGAUGAAAGUUUUUCAACU
rnacentral:rRNA from 1 species